rnacentral:tRNA from 1 species
GGAUUGUGGCUCAGCUGUAGAGUGCUCUCGCCUAGCACGUGGGAGGCCCUGGGUUCGAUCCUCAGCACCA